rnacentral:tRNA from 1 species
GUCCCUGUAGCGCAAUGGAUUGGGCGUUGGACUUCUAUUCCAAAGGUCGUGGGUUCGAAUCCCACUUUGGAUA